UAAUCUUGGGGAAAUCUUCUGCACUUAGCAAGAUCGUGACCCUCCCACACACUACUGUAGUUUAUAUACAUACCUGGAGGCAGGGAUGCUUUGCCACGAGUUUCCUAAACACACACGCACGCACACGCACACUGGGGGAGGUGAUGCCUGUACCUCCAAGAAAGGAUCCUACUCACCACAGUGGCCCCUUGAGCGACUGGCAAAAGGUAAGUGGCUGGUUUGGGCUCUUGCGCGCACCGAGGCCUCUGAAAAGAGAUCGGAUUCCCGAGGCAAGGAAGGAGAAGAGAGGACUCGCCUAGCUGGGAGAUGCAGAAAAAUUGGGGAAAGCCUGUUUCCAGACAUUAAGAGGAUAGUUGAAAGGUGCCAGCAUCUAUUCACAGGUA